GCACCGGUAGCUCAGCUGGAUAGAGCGCCUGGUUGCUACCCGGGGGGUCGCUGGUUCGAGCCCAGCCCGGUGCA
rnacentral:tRNA from 1 species